UCUACUCUGUCGUGGGGGAUAACGUAGGGAAACUUACGCUAAUACCGCAUACGACCUACGGGUGAAAGCAGGGGAUCUUCGGACCUUGCGCGAUUGAAUGAGCCGAUGUCGGAUUAGCUAGUUGGCGGGGUAAAGGCCCACCAAGGCGACGAUCCGUAGCUGGUCUGAGAGGAUGAUCAGCCACACUGGAACUGAGACACGGUCCAGACUCCUACGGGAGGCAGCAGUGGGGAAUAUUGGACAAUGGGCGCAAGCCUGAUCCAGCCAUACCGCGUGGGUGAAGAAGGCCUUCGGGUUGUAAAGCCCUUUUGUUGGGAAAGAAAUCCAGCUGGCUAAUACCCGGUUGGGAUGACGGUACCCAAAGAAUAAGCACCGGCUAACUUCGUGCCAGCAGCCGCGGUAAUACGAAGGGUGCAAGCGUUACUCGGAAUUACUGGGCGUAAAGCGUGCGUAGGUGGUCGUUUAAGUCCGUUGUGAAAGCCCUGGGCUCAACCUGGGAACUGCAGUGGAUACUGGGCGACUAAAGUGUGGUAGAGGGUAGCGGAAUUCCUGGUGUAGCAGUGAAAUGCGUAAAGAUCAGGAGGAACAUCCAUGGCGAAGGCAGCUACCUG
rnacentral:rRNA from 1 species